rnacentral:rRNA from 1 species
AGAGUUUGAUCCUGGCUCAGAACGAACGCUGGCGGCGUGCUUAACACAUGCAAGUACGAGUGCGCGGUUGUAGCAAUACAACUGGCGCACGGCGCACGGGUGCGUAACACGUGGGCAAUCUGCCCUUCGAUGGGGAAUAACUCCGGGAAACCGAAGCUAAUUCCGCAUAACAUUCCUUGGACCUCGGUUCGAGGACUCAAAGCACGUAAGGCGUCGAAGGAGGAGCCCGCGCACGAUUAGCUAGUUGGUAGGGUAAUGGCCUACCAAGGCUUUGAUCGUUAGCUGGUCUGAGAGGAUGGCCAGCCACACUGGAACUGAGACACGGUCCAGACUCCUACGGGAGGCAGCAGUGGGGAAUCUUGCACAAUGGGCGAAAGCCUGAUGCAGCGACGCCGCGUGGGGGAUGAAGCAUUUCGGUGUGUAAACCCCUUUCGACCCGGACGAAUGCCUCGCAAGAGGAGUGACGGUACGGGUAUAAGAAGCCCCGGCUAACUACGUGCCAGCAGCCGCGGUA